UACGGGGGGAGCAAGCGUUGUUCGGAUUUACUGGGCGUAAAGGGCGCGUAGGCGGUCGUGACAAGUCACUUGUGAAAUCUCCGGGCUUAACUCGGAACGGUCAAGUGAUACUGUCGGACUAGAGUACAGAAGGGGCAACUGGAAUUCUCGGUGUAGCGGUGAAAAUGCGUAGAUAUCGAGAGGAACACCUGCGGCGAAGGCGGGUUGCUGGGCUGAUAACUGACGCUGAGGCGCGAAAGCCGGGGAGCGAACGGG
rnacentral:rRNA from 1 species